UACGUAGGUGGCAAGCGUUGUCCGGAUUUAUUGGGCUUAAAGGGUGCGUAGGCGGCCUUAUAAGUCAGUGCUGAAAUAUCCCGGCUUAACCGGGAGGGUGGCAUUGAUACUGUAGGGCUUGAGUAAAGUUGAGGUUGGCGGAAUUGACGGUGUAGCGGUGAAAUGCUUAGAUAUCGUUAAGAACACCGAUAGUGAAGACAGCUAACUAAGCUUUAACUGACGCUGAGGCACGAAAGUGUGGGGAGCAAACAGG
rnacentral:rRNA from 1 species